rnacentral:misc_RNA from 1 species
CCAUGAACAAACAAUUCCUUGAUAAACUUUCCAAAAAGAUCUCAGGCCUUCUUGCAACACCAGGGGACCCCCCUUUUAUGACGUUGAAAAAUGCCCAAAUUGCAGAAUUUAUCCCACGCCGCAGCCGUCGAAUUGCUGGCGUGGGAGUUGAAUUUGACAAGAUGGACUUAUCUUCAAGAACCACAAAGAAAGUCAUGCAGGCCUUGAAAGUAAUUGGGGACCCUGGGGCAGUCACCCAGCAGGCCAGAGAAGACUAUCUGAAAGUGUUCUCCACUGAACUUCCUGUUUCACAUAUUGAGGCGCUGGCGUCCUUUUUUGGAUGGGUGGUGCCAGAUGAUCUCAAGUUGGGUAGUACCAGUGUUGGCAUUAGUGCCUGUUAAAUUGUCGUUUAGAGGUCGCUGAUGUAAGUGGUUUGUAAUGGAUCCAAAAAAAAUCUUGAGCUGGAAUGUAAGGGGUCUCAAUUCUGCAUCUAGACAAUGUUCUGUUAGAACGUGCAUUGAUGCUUGUGGUGCAGACGUUAUCUGUCUUCAGGAAACAAAAAUGCAGGAAAUCAGCAGAGGAAAGAUGCUGACUAUUUUGGG